rnacentral:lncRNA from 1 species
AUGUGAUGCCAGUUAGCAGACCUUAAAAUUGAUCCCAGCUCUAAUGCAAGUCCUAGUCCUACAAGUCCCACUCCCAACAUGAGUUCCACUCCUGAAGCUAGUCCUUGGAGUUGAUCCCAGCUCUGAUGCAAGUCCUAGUCCUACAAGUCCCACUCCCAACAUGAAUUCCACUCCUGACGCGAGUCCUAGUCGUGCGAGUCCCAGUUCCACAAGUUCCACUCUCG